UCUACCGAGGGGGAAAAGGUGUUGUUGUGCCCUCUUCACGACUGUCUUGGUGUGUUUGGACCAUGCUAGUUUGUUGGUGAUGUGGACACCAAGGAACUUGAAGUCGAUGUGAAUGGGGAAGUGUUCGGCCCUCCUUUUCCUGUAGUCCACAAUCAUCUCCUUCGUCUUGAUAGAUACAAGUCUUCCCUCUCAAACACACAACAAUGAUGGGUGGUGCAAUGUCCCCCACAGUAUCUGAGUAAUGUGCUGAACUGAUGUGACCCAAUGACUGUGAUGUGACAUCAGAGAACCAAUCAACAGAAUCAGGGCAGAACCAACAGUGGACCAGUAUGGGUUGAAGGGGGAUUCAAUAUGUCUGGCUGUUGCAGAACCUCCUGAGAUGAUCAACGGACUUCAAUGGAGGAAGGACAAUGAUGUAAUAUUUGGAGACAAAGAGAUCUCUCCUAAAUACAAGGAGAAGGUGGACUAUAACAAUGAUAACCAUUCUCUGUGUAUUAAGAAUCUAAUGGAAACUGACAGUGGAAUUUACAUGGUAAACUACAGGAAACAUUGGAAACAAUCAACUACUACAUAUAGACUGUUAGUGGAGGAUCAUGUUCCCAAACCAGUCAUGGAUGUCACAUCUCUCUUCAACACAAGUGUGGGUUGCUGUGAUGUCACAGUGAACUGUUCAGUUAAAGAUGGCUGGAUGUUGUCUGUCUGUGACAGCGGUCAGUGUACACUGUCACAACAGUCUCCGUCACUAACCGGUGGUAACAUGACCAUCUCCGUAUUGACUGGAAGGAUCCAAUGCACCAGCAGCAACCAUGUCAGCACACAGACCAUCUCUCAACCCAUGGAGGACUGUAGUGGUGAGGAUGGGAAAGCCUCAGUGUUACUAGUUGUGGGUGGUGUUAUUGGUGGAUUACUCUUGUUAUUGGUGGCUGUAGUUAUGUGGUGUCAGAUACAUCAAACAUACCAGAAGACAGAAAAUCCCUAAAGAACAACAUUCACUAGAAGAGAGUUUACAACUCAGUGAACACUUCACCAGGUAGAGGAAAACCACACCACUCUCCUGACCAGAACCACAGCACUCUCCUGACCAGAACCACAGCACUCUCCUGACCAGAACCACAGCACUCUCCUGGCCAGAACCACAGCCCUCUCCUGAGUAGAACCACAGCACUCUCCUGGCCAGAACCACAGCCCUCUCCUGAGUAGAACCACAGCACUCUCCUGUCCAGAACCACAGCACUCUCCUGUCCAGAACCACACCACUCUCCUGUCCAGAACCACACCACUCUCCUGACCAGAACCACAGCACUCUCCUGUCCAGAACCACAGCACUCUCCUGUCCAGAACCAUAGCACUAUCCUAUCCAGAACCACAACCACAGCACUCUCCUGUCCAGAACCAUAGCACUAUCCUGUCCAGAACCACAGCACUAUCCUGUCCAGAACCACAGCACUAUCCUGUCCAGAACCACAGCACUAUCCUGUCCAGAACCACAUCACUCUCCAGAGAUACAGACUGUCUAUUUCACUGAGAGGAACCAGCACCAGCAGAACACCUCCAAGUUGAAACAGGAAGCGCUUCUCCAGACAUUAGACCAAAAGAACAGAGAAUAACUGCCUCUGAACUGCAUCAUCUCAUUGAGUCACUGAGUUACAUCAGUUCUUGACCUUGUACAGAAACCACGGGACAUUGCACCACCUAGUGGACAUCAAUAAUACCAGCAGAGUAAACCUCAUGGCUUCAUUCAUCAACAUGUGUCUAGAUUCAUCAACAUGUUGGGAAGUUGUUUUAGACCAAGAUAUUUACAUGUUCUAGUAUGUGUUAUUACUAUACCACAAAGCCCACGUUUUUCCAGAUUUGUCCAAUCCUAAAUGAACCCCUGGCUCAGGUUUACACCACAUUGAUUGUAGGAUCAGAUAGGUGUACCAGUCAGCAGUAACAUGGUAUUAGUUCCACCUACCCAUCAAUGUUGUGUAUAUAAGAGGUCAGACUUGACCUCAUUAGGCCACCGUAUAUGGAUUCUUUAACACAUUUGAUCUGUCAAGCCAUCAAAGUCAUACGUCUUUUUUAAAGAAUUUGUUCCUAACUGACCUGCCAAGUUAAAUACAGGUUCAAUAAAACAAAUAGAUAGCAGUCAUCUUUUUAACUGGGACACAAGUAUUUAUAAUCUCUGUACCAAUAACCUGAUACUUUUUACUCUGCCUUGUCCUUCCUCUGAGUUUGGAAGACACUGGUAGCUACACUACAUGACCAAAAGUAUGUGGACACCUGCUGUUCAAACAUCUCAUUCCAAAAUCAUGGGCAUUAACAUGGAGUUGGUCCUCCCUUUGCUGCUUUAACAGCCUCCACUCUUCUGGGAAGGCUUUCCACUAGAUGUUGGCACAUUGCUGCAGGGACUUGCUUCCAUUCAGCCACAAGAGCAUUAGUGAGGUCAGGCACUGUUGAGCGAUUAGGUCUGGCUCGCAGGUGUUCGAUGGGAUUGAGGUCAGGGUUCUCUGCAGGCCAGUCAACUUCUUCCACACCUAUCUCGACAAACCAUUUCUGUAUGGACCUCGCUUUGUUUACGGGGGCAUUUUCAUGCUGAAACAGGAAAGGGCCUUCCCCAGACUAUUGCCAUAAAGUUGGAAACACAGAAUUGUCUAGAAUGUAAUUGUAUGAUGUAGCAUUAAGAUUUCCCUUCACUGGAACUAAGGGGCCUAGCCUGAACCAUUCAAAACAGCCCCAGACAAUUAUUCCUCCUCCACCAAACUUUACAGUUGGCACUAUGCAUUGGGGCAGGUAGUGUUCACUUUGCAACCGCCAAACCCAGACUUCCAGAUGGUGAAGUGUGAAUCCUCACUCCAGGGAACGCUUUUCCAGAGUCCAAUGGAGGCGAGCUUUACACCACCGACCCUUGGCAUUGCUCAUGGUGAUUUUAGGCUUGGGUGCGGCUGCUCGGCCAUGGAAACCUAUUUCAUGAAGGUCCCAACCAACAGUUUUUGUGCUUACGUUUCUUCCAGACAGGUGUCUUUUAUACACUCCCUUUAAGAGUGUGCUCCUAAUCUCAGCUCAUUACCUGAAUAAAAGACACCUGGGAGCCAGAAAUCUUUCUGAUUGAGAGGGGGUCAAAUACUUAUUUCCCUCAUUAAAAUUCAAAUCAAUUUAUAACAAUUUUGAUAUGCGUUUUUCUGGAUUUUUGUUGUUAUUCUGUUAUUCUGUUGUUGUUAUUUAGUCCUGAGGUGCUGACCUGUUGCACCCUCUUCAACCACUGUGAUUAUUAUUAUUUGACCCUGCUGGUCAUCUAUGAACAUUUGAAUAUCUUGGCCAUGUUCUGUUAUAAUCUCCACCCGGCACAGCCAGAAGAGGACUGGCCACCCCUCAUAGCCUGGUUCCUCUAGGUUUCUUCCUAGAUUCUGGCUUUCCUAGGAAGUUUUUCCUAGCCAUCAUGCUUCUACACCUGCAUUGCAUGCUGUUUGGGGUUUUAGACUGGGUUUCUGUACAGCACUUUGUGAUGUCAGCUGAUGUAAGAAGGGCUUUAUAAAUACAUUUGAU